rnacentral:rRNA from 1 species
GACGAACGCUGGCGGCGUGCUUAACACAUGCAAGUCGAACGGAAAGGCCCUGCUUUUGUGGGGUGCUCGAGUGGCGAACGGGUGAGUAACACGUGAGUAACCUGCCCUUGACUUUGGGAUAACUUCAGGAAACUGGGGCUAAUACCGGAUAGGAGCUCCUGCUGCAUGGUGGGGGUUGGAAAGUUUCGGCGGUUGGGGAUGGACUCGCGGCUUAUCAGCUUGUUGGUGGGGUAGUGGCUUACCAAGGCUUUGACGGGUAGCCGGCCUGAGAGGGUGACCGGCCACAUUGGGACUGAGGUACGGCCCAGACCCCUACGGGAGGCAGCAGUGGGGAAUAUUGCACAAUGGGCGGAAGCCUGAUGCAGCAACGCCGCGUGCGGGAUGACGGCCUUCGGGUUGUAAACCGCUUUCGCCUGUGACGAAGCGUGAGUGACGGUAAUGGGUAAAGAAGCACCGGCUAACUACGUG